GAACACACCAGGAUCCAUCCACACAGACAGGUCACGAAGCAGCCGAUCUCCAUGUACAUCACCACCGUCCUGUACUUCAUGCCACGGCUGAUGCACCUGCAUGAGGGAGAGCCGAUGACAUGGAAAAAAAGAAGACAAACCAUUUCCCCCAAUGCGUGUGCACUCCAUUCCAAAAAAUGUGAGCACUGUGCCAAUCAAGCCGAAGCAAAGGCUGCUCAUCAGGAGCCCCCUGACUGCCUGGACCACUCUGAAGUCUACACAGUUCACCACAGCAGUGGAGUCUUCAUAGCAGUCCUUCCACAGGUCUGACCAGUACCAGGCUGUCACUACCACAGAGGAGCCUGCUUGACCCCCCAGCUGGGCCACUCUUCAUGGUCCAUGGCAAGGGUGCAGCCCACCAAAGCCCAGCCCAGGAUGCAGAGCAGCAGGCCCAGGAUCUGAGCCAAUCUCCUCCACAUCCUUUCAGUCUGGUGCACUCCAUCCCCAUCAGACUGAGUACAAACCCCAGCAUGCCCACAGAAAGAGAUGCCAUCAGCAGACCUCGCACAAUCUGGA